UACAGAGGGUGCUAGCGUUGUUCGGAAUUAUUGGGCGUAAAGGGCGCGUAGGCGGCCCUGUGUGUCGGGUGUGAAAGCCCACCUCUUAAAGGUGGAAUUGCAUUCGAAACUAACAGGGCUGGAGUGUCGGAGAGGAUGGCGGAAUUCCUGGUGUAGAGGUGAAAUUCGUAGAUAUCAGGAGGAACACCGGUGGCGAAGGCGGC
rnacentral:rRNA from 1 species